AUGGAUGGACUUGCUCCGAUGAACAUAAUAACAGACCAGGAUUUUAGCAUGCGUGCAGGCAUAGAGGAGGUCUUUCCGUUGGCAGUGCACAUGCACUGCAGGUGGCACAUUAUAAAGAAGGCUGAGGAGACGCUAGGACCGUUCUUUGCUGACCGUCCAGAGCUGCACAAGGCAUUCGAGCUGUGCGUGGACCAUAGAUUGACGGUGGAGGAGUUUGAAAGGAGCUGGAUGGCCAUGAUUGAAACAUAUCAAGUCCAAGACAAGGAGACUCUUGCUAGCCUAUGGGAGAAGCGAAUGUACUGGGUGCCGGCCUACUUCAUGCAGUGUUUCUUCCCGUUUCUGCAGACUACGCAGCGCAGCAAGGGGUUCAAUGUUGUUUUGAAGCGGUACGUGAGCCCUGGAAACUCAUUGCUACAGUUUGCCAAGCAGUACACAGCUUUGCAACAAAAAAUACUGGGAUCUGAGCUACAGCAAGAAGCGAACACCGCGCUAAAGCAGCCAAAUUGCUAA
rnacentral:rRNA from 1 species